rnacentral:rRNA from 1 species
GACGAACGCUGGCGGCGUGCUUAACACAUGCAAGUCGAACGAAGUGGCGAACGGGUGAGUAACGCGUAAUCAACCUGCCCUUCAGAGGGGGACAACAGUUGGAAACGACUGCUAAUACCGCAUACUGAAGGAGGGGAUUGCGUCUGAUUAGAGAGUUGGAGGGGUAACGGCCAACCAAGGCGAUGAUCAGUAGCCGGACUGCGAGAUUGAACGGCCACAUGGGGACUGAGACACGGCCCAGACUCCUACGGGAGGCAGCAGUGGGGAAUCCUCCGCAAUGGACGAAAGUCUUACGGAGCAACGCCGCGUUAGUGAUGACGGCCUUCGGGUUGUAAAGCUCUGUUAUUCGGGACGCGGUACCGGAAUAGAAAGCCACGGCUAACUUCGUGCCAGCCGCCGCGGUAAUAC